rnacentral:lncRNA from 1 species
CACGUCUCGAAAUCGGCUCAGCAAGCCGUGGGAGCGCCCGCCUCGCUCCGAUACCCAACAGCCGUCACAGCCGCGCAUCCCAGAAGACACGUCGCCACAUGGGGCAGAAAAGACUCACGGCGAAGGCUGAGAGACGCGUUCAGACGCCGCGCCGAGGUCCGGAGCGCCUGUUCGCCGUCGCAGAAUGCGGGAUCGAAAGUCGCCUCCAAGCGUCUGCGCAUCGAGAUAUCGGAAAGCAGCAACGCUCGGAAGAGGCCGGCUGCCGACGGGCAUGCACCACGCGGAGGCCACACGAAAGAGAUGCACAGCCCCCAGGAGGCGACAGGCGCGCCGAUGAUAGUCCACAGACUCCCACACGCCAAGCCGUUCUGGAAGUAAACUGGACAUAAAAGGAGCAUGCGCGACUAUGUCUCCAUGCCUUUCCUGCACCAGUGACAUCUAUACAUAAAUUUGCUUGUAUGUGCACGCGUAUAUAUAGAUAUAUAUAUGCCCGUCAGGUUGAGCCUUUCGCCUCUGCAUACUGAAUCUCAACUACAAAUAGAGAUGCAUAUAUAUAUAGAUAUAUGCACGCAGAGAGGAGGCUUACUGUCAAGAGCGUCUGAUCGCGUAGGAGUUCUUCCUCCUCGAGAUUGGGUGUGCGUUGUUUGUUUCGGUCCCUUUCUUCUCCAAGUUCCUCGUCUCCAUUUGCGGUCAGUCGCCCGGUUCUUGCGAUCGCCGCUUUCUCUUCCUCUCUUCGUUGCCCCCGCCGCUCGGCCCGCAGCAUUUCCUGAAUGGCGUCGAGAGACAGGUCGGCGCUUAAGCCGGGAGUGCUUCGCCACAAGCGCGCCGACUCGUCGCGUCGCGCCCCGGGGUCUGGAGAGGGCGACGACGCUGGCCCGGAGAGAGAAGACAGCAUUUUGGCUUCGCGGAGGAGCACGCCGCUGGGCAGCAUCUCGCAGAGAGUCUCUUCUUGACCCUGAGGGAGGGACGAAGCGUGGCGGUGGAGCCGGGCAUGCGCGGGCGCGUGGCGGGCUGCGCCGAGAGACGACUGAGGCUCCGCCUCUGAGCACCGCUGGAGCUCUUGGGCGGUCGCCACGCGAAGCAGAAGACGCGUGGCAGUGCGCGGCCACGACGAAGGAAGAAUCGGCAGAGUCCUGACAGACACAGAAGGAAAGUCGAGAUGGAGCGUCCUUGGAAGGAGACGAGGCGAGCUGCGCGGGAAUCCGCGAGACAGACGCGACAGGCGCCAGAGAACGGGGGGGGAACGUUGCAUGCGUCAGCAGCCCGGGGGCCGGGAGAAAGGGUAGAGAGUAUAAGGGAAAAGGGUUAAAGGCUGGAAACACGAACUGUCGACUCGGUCCCUGCUUCGCGCACGCACUGACAAAAUGGAGGAGAGAGGGCGUGCCGGGGAGUGUACAGAGCAGAGAGGCGAAACGCGGGCUUUUGCCUUCUCACGGGAGGGCCAAGGCGAAGGGGAGAACCAUCCACAAGACACAGGUGGAUUUAUGAGC